rnacentral:tRNA from 1 species
GCGGGUGUGGUGGAAUUGGUAGACACACUUGAUUUAAGUUCAAAUGUCUUGCAGACGUGAGGGUUCGAGUCCCUCUACCCGUA